rnacentral:tRNA from 1 species
GCCCCGCUAGCUUAAUUGGUAGAGCAGGUCCCUCUUAAGGACAAGGUUGCAGGUUCGAGCCCUGCGCGGGGCA